CUUCUACUUGUGGACUGCAUCCUUUGAGAGUUGCGAGCCUGGAUCCUCAGAAAAGGGGACAGAAUUACAGUCAGAUCUGACUUCAGGGUGGCGCUGAUUUUGGAAAGCGAGACAGUGACCUCAGCCUGGCAGAAAGUGAGGUGAUGGAGAAGGCGUUCCCAGCCACGGGGCCGUUUCCUGCGCCCUCAUCCAGCCUCAGCUCCUCUGCACAUCCCUUGGGUGUUGCAGGGGCAUUCGGAUGGGGCUCGGUCACAUUUGCAAAAGUGCUUUUCCAGCAUGCCAAAUUGCCCGGGUAGCUGUGAUGAGGCUCUGUCGCUGCUCGGCUCGUUCCAUGCCAUGCGGUUUAUCAGCAUUAUCUGCACUUCAGCUCGAGUAUCUGGGGGAAUCAUCGCAACUCAUUCCCCGGCCAGGAUCCCGAAUCUCUUCAAUUCCAGCAGCAUUGCUGCAUUUGCAACCUUGCCGUUAUCCUGAGGCUGAUAACCUCGGUGUUCAUUUUUUAAGUCAUUGAGCAGUUUCCUGCUUGUCACACUGUUGGUAUCUAGAAAUACGAGGUUCUGCAGCUGUUUCCGCCCUCCCAAACCCACCUGCUGAACUCGGCAAACUCUAUUUCUAAUCCUGAAGUCAAUGGGAAUAACAUCUUCCUUUGAAAACAACAAAGGCUAUUUUUGAAACGCUCUCCAAGUGAGGCUCUAUCCCUCUCCCUGCCAUGCACGGGGCUGGCUGAUGAUGCAUCUUGCUGGCAUGUCUCACACCUGGUCCUGCAAAACUGCAUUCAGUUGCAUCCUGCAGCACACCUGGGGCCUGCCCCAGGCAGAUGGGGGCAUCAUGGGGCCCUUGUGGUGCCUCUCCUUUCUCUGCUCUCUGAAACCCCCAGGUAUACUGCAAGAAGGGCUGCUGCUGCUGCCACCUCUGCCCGUGGCUGCUCCAACCUCCCCUGUACCCCCACAGUCAGGGCACAUCGCUGCAGAAGCUGGGCCAGCAGCAGCAUCCAUGUGCUUGGAGUUCAGGAGCUCGAGGGCUGCCAGAAUGGCUUUUCCUUUCCAGGAUGC
ensembl:lncRNA